rnacentral:rRNA from 1 species
UACAGAGGUGGUCAGCAGUCGUUUCGGAUUCGAUUGGUGGCGUAAAGCGCGUGUAGGCGGCUUUGCAAGUCGGGUGUGAAAGCCCUCAGCUUAACCUGAGGAAGUGCGCCCGAAACUGCUUGGCUUGAGUACCGGAGAGGAUGGCGGAAUUCCCCAAGUAGAGGUGAAAUUCGUAGAUAUGGGGAGGAACACCGGUGGCGAAGGCGGCCAUCUGGACGGAUACUGACGCUGAGACGCGAAAGCGUGGGUAGCAAACAGG